UAUUUAAGGUGUUUCCGCGAUGCUACCUCCAUUAGCAGCUAGCAUUAAAGCAGUUCGGGUACCAUUUGUUUUACUCCUGUUUUAUAUUAGGUAUAAGAAUAUAUGGAAUAUAAAUGUAAAAAUUUGUUGCAGAAACUUAAGUCAUAACUUAACCAGUGACUAAGAAUGGCAUUAAAUUGUAAAGGCGUAUUUUUCCUUGAUCUAAUCCAAAAGGCUCGUUUUGUUUUUUCUGUUUUUCAUCCAUAGAUUGUCUCCCAGCAGCAGGAAUCAGCUCCCAAGGAAGAGAAAAAGGUGUUUAUUAUUAACACUUCCUAUAUUGCGGUAAUGGAGGACGUUCCUCGUCUGUAACCCUAACCCUGCAAGCCUAGAGCCUGGAAGCAUAGAAAAAGAGACCCUGUGAAGAUUCAAAGGCUUGACUCCGAAGAUUUGAACUGGAAUUUCUUCAUCCUUAAAGAUGAUUGAAGAGGUAACAGAGGGUGACUUUUAGCAAGAAUGUGUCUUGCCAACAAAGUUUCUUUAGAACAAGUUAAAGAACUUCAAAACUGUCGCCCUGCAGGCUUCCAUAUAUAGAUAUACUGUCCUUUUUGUGCGGGUCGUAUUACAAUGGAGGUGACCAGACCACCGCAUUGAGCAGACCGUUGAAGUGAAAUGAGUCGUACGUUCUGGACAGUGUGAACAACUUGAAAACGUCAGGAAGACUUAAAACUUGGGCAAUCAUCUGUGCUGCUUUUUUUAUUGCUGGCUGUUCCUUGAUUCUUGGUGUUCUUGUUGCGGUUUGUCAAAGGCGAUUACAGGUUCAGGGGUUUUCUUGCAUCAGCAGCCAGCACACAUUCAGCGUUUAGCUUUUUUAACCAGGACGGUUUUGUGAUGCAGAAAGUCUUUGUUUUGGACAGUGUAUUGGACUUUCGAUAAAUAUAUUUCUCAAGAAAUGCUGCAAGGGUGAAUGUAUUUCCCUUAAUGGAAAAUAAAAUAAGUUGGACAUUUUACUGAAGGACAGACGUCAGUGCACAGUAUUUAAAAUUAUUUAAAAUUCAGUUAGACAGUCACAGUGUGGCCUGUUGAGCAAUAUAUAGGAUCACCAUUUCAAAGCAUUUUUAUGGGCAGUUGUACAGAAAAAAGAAGAUAUCUAGAAGUACGUAUCAAAAAUGUUGCAAAUUAUCACAUUUAAAUGUUGGGGUCACAUGCAUAUUGUUUUUAAAGAUAACAUAUUAAUAUAUGCUUUUAAAUUUUCUAAGUGUGGUACUCCUUUUUAUUUCCAUAUUUAGGCCGUUCCACAACAUAACUUCUGCUUGGCUGAGCCCCAGACUUUUAAGUGUGGUGCGAACACCACAGCAUCUUAACACAAAUUCUCUCAAAUUAUAAUUCUCUAAAAAAAAUUUAUGUUGCCAGGAAGUAGAUCAAGUCUUUCUUUGUACACUAAAGCAAGAGUUUUAAAUUUGUGUAAGUCUUGAAUUCUCAUGAUGUGAGAUUUUAGGAAAAGUGCAUUAGUGUGAUCUUUGAAUCCCACAUUAUGGAUGAUUUGUAAAGCUUUUUUCUGAAGUUUGAUAAUUGAAUCUAGAUUAAUAAUAAUUAAACACUAUUGAUCUCACAUUCAAGAAAUGUAUCCCUGCAUUUAACCCAUUCCCUUGGGGAGCUGCUCCCCGGGCUGCCAUUGUGC